CACCCUUUAAUGUUGUGCAAUUGGACAGGAUUUGGCUUGUCCUGAUUUUGUGUUUGGAGAACUCGGGCUGCCCUUUGUGCUCGAUGUUCUACCUCUUUUUCUCUUGAAGGUCCAGUGGAGAAAUCCGACUGGGUGCGUUUGCAUCACUCACUUGCUGCCUGUUCUUUGUCUGAGUGCAGUGUUUUUCUGAAAUUAAAGCACAGCUUUCUUCUCUUUGCUCACUGUGGGAUUUCCCAGUGUUUCACAAGGUUGCUGUUUGAUGAACAUUUCAAGCUGGCACUGAUGCUGAAAGAAACAGUCGUGUUUUCUUUAUACCUGUUCCCUUGUAUCUAGUCCAGGGUGCACGUGGCUGUAAGAUGGACCAGAACAGGGAGGGAAUCUGGCUCAGAAAAUAGCUGUUUCUGUCUUGUAAUCACAUUUGUUUCAUGUGGUUCCCUUUCAUGACAGGGCUUAGCAGCAGGGCAAAGAAGAGCUGGGGGGAGAAGGAGGAGAAGCCGGGCUUCUCCAGGUGGGGAGCCUUUCUGCUUCCCACCCCAUGUCUCUUUGUCUCUCACUCCGCUAUCUCCUGGAGGUGGCAACAAGUUAAUGUGACUCAGGAGCCAGAAGGUGAGGGGGUUGCUGUGGAUGAAGGCCUACAUUGUGUCCUUCUGAACCCAAGGCUAUUCCCCUCCCCCUUUCCAUUCUUUGGGUUACUCAGCAGAGCUGCUCCGAUUCACAUAAGCUAACAAUCUGUUUGAGAAGAAACAAUUAAGGCCGUAGAAGUUGUUGACAUCCUAUUUUCUUUUUUUUUUUUUUUUUUUUUUCCCCAGUAGCAUAACUGGUACUCCAGCUUAGCUUGUCCUUUUGUGCUCUCCAUCCCUUGCACUGAAUCCAUGAAGAAACCCAUGCGGGUAGAACUUCAGCCCCCACAACCCCUAAACAGCUGGGACCAACAGCUAAAGAAGCUCAGCUUUUCUCACAGUCCACAGUGUAGCUUUUGAGCUGGCUGGUAAUUGGAAACACUGUGCACUCCACUGCUCGGUCUCUCAGGCUCCCUGGCCAGCUGUGGGCUGUUCACCACCAUUGCUGAGCCCGCGGUACAGGGACGAGCCGCAGCGCCCGGUGAGGAUGGACUGUGGUUAUGGGAUGCCAUCAGGUUGGCUUGCGUGUCUUUUUCCAGGAAGCUGAGUGCAUGCUCCCUGCUUCUUCUCUUUUUCAUGAUCUUCAAGAGUUCAGCUUAAAGCAGCUGCAGAUAAAAAACAAGCAUCCUGCUGAAGAAGAGCCAAUGGCCCUGGGAACAGACUGCUUUUAUAAAAAGCCUUACGCGAGCCAGAUGCCCCCCUACCCUGACAAAGACUGAUCAGGUGGCUGCUGGUAUCGCCUUUCACCGCUCUUUGGCAAGGGUGGAAACAGAACGAUGGUGAGUUUUCAGGUGGAGAUGCCUUUUAUUUUUGCUUUGGUGAUGCAGAUGGAAAGAGUCGUUCUGUUCCAUGCAAAGCAGUGCUGUUGUAGGGACAAAAAGGAGGACUAUCGGUGUCUAGGAGCAUGCAUGCAAUUACUGUAAUUCUCACAUGCAGGCUGCUGUGGAUUUAUGCUUUGUGAGAGGUCAGGUCAGAUCAUAGGCAUAGAAGAUAAAUCCAUUGGAUGUAUCUCUGGAGGCUGUGCUGCAAGUCUCUUGGCACGGGGUGAGUUUUGGACAUGCAGUCACUUUGCAGACUGGAGAAGAGAGGAAUACAGGCUGAGCUGAGCCACAAGUCUUUGCAGAACCAAAGCACUGAUUCUUCCUGCAACCACUCUCGGGUUGCUUCUGAGCUGGGUGGUAAGUCAGGAUGUUUCUUCAAAAUGCCACGUAGGGCUUGCAGAGAUUAUUCAGACCGUUUGUUGCAGUGUUGCAACAAAAUCUCCCUCUUUUUCCUUCCCUCUCUCAUAAUCUGGAUCCUGCUCACAUCAGUACCUAACACAAACUUUGUGAAUUAUUCUGGGGAUGAAACAGAAACUGCUUGCUCAAUCCAGCAGCCUGAUGGGUUUUUAUCUCAAGAUGACUGUAUUUUUAUACUUAUAUAUGCGACACAACUCCAACCCUAAACUUGCUCCCACUUCACUUUCAGGCGUUUCCCCAGCACUUCCCCACCCGACCGGCCUCAGCAGGUGUGAGGAUGAGGAGGAUGAAGCCCGGAGUGCGAGCCAGCCCCGCCGGCUGCCGAGUGCCACCAGAGGGUGCUGCUCCGUGCGGCCGGCCGGCAGGGACGGGUGGGAACGGGAGGGAUGAGAGAGGAACGAGGGAGGCUGCGGCCCCCAGCCAGCUCCCUGCCUGCCAGCCCAUGCUGUGGUUGCCAGGCUGCUCGGUUCGGUUGCCCCGCAGCUAGCGAGCUCCGUCUGAUGAACCUCAGCUCCCUCUGGAGAAAACAAGCGUUUGUGGCCGUGUUGAUGUGCAAGGAGAAAAACGUUGACGCCGCAGAUAACGUGUUGUAACUUAAAAAUGCUGACUCACUGGCACUGUGUGCCAACACAAAUGUUGCUGCGGAAAUCAAUCAUCGUGAGAGCCUGGUGAGAUACAACUCCACAGUGUCAUGGGCUUUGAAUGGGCCUCCAAGUUUCUUCUUCAGACAGUUGGCUUGGUAACUCCCAUCGUGUCAGGUUUUUCAGAUCCAAAAACACAGAACUGCUGGAGAUUCCUUGACGUGUAUACAGGCAAAACAGAGCAAGAAAGAAUCCCGUUCAUCCUUGCUGGCCAUUCUGUUUCUGAACUGGGCCAGAAUGAAGCAUCCUACCUUAACAACAGUCCAAAACUCUGCUGGAAUUUGGACUAGCAUCCAAACUCAAGGCACAGGCUCUUCUCUAAAUAAAAAUAACUCGAUCAUAAGCUAUUCUGGGGUGGUGACUUUCAGACAAGAAAUGUAGGGCUUAUAUAGGUUUUUACUUCUGUCAAAUACAUCUGGAUGCUGUACUCCUUCCUGCCGAUACUCUGAACUUGCUCUCUUCAGCUCAGAGACAAAGAACCCCAACUGGAAGCUAGAAAUGGUAGAACAACUGAUGUUACUCAAGGAUUUGCAAUGCGCAGUUUGGGCUAUGGAUGUGAAGGACCAAAUCCUACGCUGCUUAAAGUACAAAAGAGCAAUGGAACUACGUCCAUGCAUAUGAAUACACGGAAUGCUGAAAUCAUUCUACCAUUCUGAAAAACACGUGGUCUAGAGGACUGAUGCUGAGAGAUGUCAUUUAGGAUCAUCUAAUUCAUGAACCUGUAUAUCCUGAUGUAAAUAUAGCUUUUCCCCUGGUUAUAUACUUUCAUUGGUGAAGAUAUCCUUUUUUUAAAAUAAUAAUAAUAAGUAGAUGUUAAAUACUGUGCAUCUAGAACCCCUUACUGGACUUAUAACACCUUUAUAACAGCAUUUUACACAGCACACCACUUUUCCCAUCCUAUCUAGUAUCAGAGGCUUCUCUCAAUCAGCAGAGCUCAUGGAUUGAGACUGGUAUUAAAAUAAAGUUUAACAUCUGCGCAGAUGAUGAAAAUACAAUUUCAAGUUCAGUUUUGUAGUUUGGUAGAUUUUUACUUUUAAAAUGUGUCCUAUGUUUUUAUUCCCGGCUCCUCUGUUUGCUUUGGGUCAAUUGCAAGUUUUCACGUUGAGUUUUGCAGCUUACCUGAUGCAAUACAUACACACCAAAUUAAAAUGACGCACAAGAUUAAAAAGACAGCAGUGUUGAAGUUUAAACAAAAAACAAAAAACACACAAAAAAAGCAGCUAUGUUGUGCUGGAAACAUACUGAAAAGAGAUGUUUCAACACUGCUGGAACUCUUUGUUUUCCUGGUUUUCUUCCUGAAUGAAGUCCUGGCAAAAUCAGCUGGAUUUUGUGAUGUGUUUUGGCUCCAGCAGAGCAGGAUCCUAGCAGCAUUUCUUCUGAUGGCUUGAGAAGAGCAGGAGUGGAGGAGCUCCCCAUGUGGAGGGUUUGGUUCCAGGAGAAGAGUCCUCCUAGCCUAUGAAGAGGAGCGAUUCAACGUGCCUUCCGCUCGGGGGUAGGAGGGGAAGGAGGGAGAGGGACAAGGACACUUCCUUCAUAGCGCUUUGUCAGGGCUUCUGGCCAAGAACGUAAGUCUAAAUACAAGUCGUCGAGCACUGUGCCAGAUCCUGAGAGUUUGGGAGUCCCUUUGUCCAGAAGCUUGCAAAAGUUAAGGUAGUUGCCAAAUGGGAUGUGUGGCAUCCAUGUAAUACAUCUGACGCAUGAAAAUGGGUUCCCGUUGAGCUUACCGCGGUGCCUGGGGCAAAAGUACUUCUGAUUCCCUGCAUGAUGCAGUAAUUACUGGGCUGCUGCUGCUUCUUGCCUAAAACCCAGCUACAAUGGCAGCUCAGGACAACCACCAGCCUCGGGUCAGGCUGAGGCAGGUGACACGCACUCAGGGAGGGGAGGUGGGGCUGCCUUUGGUUCUGCUCUCUCUCUGGGAUGAGAGGACCUGA